rnacentral:rRNA from 1 species
GAACGAGAAAGUGGAGCAAUCCAUGAGUACAGUGGCGACCGGGUGAGUAACACGUGACUAACCUACCCUCGAGUGGGGAAUAACUCCGGGAAACCGGGGCUAAUACCGCAUAACAUCGCAAGAUCAAAGCAGCAAUGCGCUUGAGGAGGGGGUCGCGGCUGAUUAGCUAGUUGGCGGGGUAACGGCCCACCAAGGCGAAGAUCGGUAUCCGGCCUGAGAGGGCGCACGGACACACUGGAACUGAAACACGGUCCAGACUCCUACGGGAGGCAGCAGUGGGGAAUUUUGCGCAAUGGGGGAAACCCUGACGCAGCAACGCCGCGUGGAGGAUGAAGCCCUUUGGGGCGUAAACUCCUUUCGACUCGGACGAUAAUGACGGUACGAGUGGAAGAAGCACCGGCUAACUCUGUG